rnacentral:lncRNA from 1 species
UCCAAAUGUAAUAUUUUAUUAUUAUACUCCUCUUACCGAGCCCACCGAGCUUAACGAGCCGAGCUUGAAAUGUCCAAGCUCGAGCUCAGCUUGGCCUCAGCUUUAUUUGACACCCUAGGUAUAUGUUUAAUAUCAUCACGUGUUAGUACUAAUAUCAUCACGUGUUAUUUUGUGUUAUAAAACAAUUUAAAUGUUUUUGAUCAAGUCAAGUUCAAAGAUCGAUUCGUUUGCACCACUACUUCCAAUCUUGCAUGUGUCUAUGAUCUUCGGCUGAUCGUCCGACUUCAGUACAUCUUCCCUUACGAACUGUCCCCGUACUCGUUGACGUUGAUCGGCCAAUUUCUUCAUUUUGGGAACAUUGAUCAACAACUAGUUAAAAAACCAAAUAUAAAAAAUAGUUCAUGCUAUUAUGUUGAGUGAACUAAUUUUUAUAGAUUUUAUCUUGACACAAUGAACUUACCUUUUUAAGAAAACAUCUUUUCUUCCUCUUUAACCUGAACUUAUAUAAGGCUGCUUGUCGUCGCAAAAUCUGGUUCUGAUGAUGAUCUCUGAUAGUUCCUUCAUUGUUUGAUGCAUCAGAAGUACAAGUGUUCAAAUGGUGGUGGCAAAUUUCAUGAAUCAUAGGUUCCAUUCUGAAUUCACUUGGUUGAUUUCUUCAAAGAUGCUGUAAUACAUUCCAAAUCCAAACAUCAAAAAAAAAAAAAAAAUCAAACUUUAAGAAAUAUUUACCUUUGAGAAAAAACUUGUGCUCUUUGAAGAACUAAGUUAUCUUACCAUAAAUAGAUAUAGGACGCGAGAAUCUUUAAAGUAUCCUGAUAUCUUCCUUUUUUGCAAGCAAAAGAAAUCUCAAGAAGAAUAAAUCUUUACAGAUAAAUCCAAAUGAACCCCAUUGAAAAUAGAAUUUGUCUCUGUUAGAAAACCAUUGAAAUUCUCUGUUCUAAGUUCUUAAACAUAUUAUGAUAUAUGACUGAAAUAUUCUUCCCCC